CGAUACGACGUAGUUUGAUCCUGGCUCAGAAUCAACGCUGGCGGCGUGCCUCAGACAUGCAAGUCGAACGAUUAAAGCUCUCUUCGGAGAGUGUAUAGAGUGGCGCACGGGUGAGUAACACGUAAGUAAUCUACCCUCGAGUGGGGAAUAACAACCGGAAACGGUUGCUAAUACCGCAUAAUGCAGCGGCACCGCAAGGUGACAGUUGUUAAAGAUUUAUCGCUUGAGGAGGAGCUUGCGGCAGAUUAGCUAGUUGGUAGGGUAACGGCUUACCAAGGCUACGAUCUGUAACCGGUCUAAGAGGACGGUCGGUCACACUGACACUGAAUAACGGGUCAGACUCCUACGGGAGGCAGCAGUCGGGAAUUUUGGGCAAUGGGCGAAAGCCUGACCCAGCAACGCCGCGUGAAGGAUGAAGUAUUUCGGUAUGUAAACUUCGAAAGAAUAGGAAGAAUUAAUGACGGUACUAUUUAUAAGGUCCGGCUAACUACGUG
rnacentral:rRNA from 1 species